AUGCCGCGCACCACCCGACGGCGCGUGCGGGCGGCCGCCUCGGCGGCGGGCAGCACACCCUACAACAUCCUGCCCACCGACGACCACCACGCCGAGCACCCGUCGCUCCGCUUCCCGGAGGUGCGGGCUGCCGCCGCGGCGCUCCAGGCGGCGGUGGGUGGCCUCCGCCCGCCGCCCUACUCUCGCUCUCGGUGGGGCGCGGACAAGGACCUCAUGGACUGGCUCGGCGCCUUCUUCGGCUUCCAGCGGGACAACGUGCGGAACCAGCGGGAGCACCUGCUGCUCCUCCUGGCCAACGCGCAAAUGCGGGUCUCCUCCUCCGCGGACGCACUCGAGCCCCGCGUCGCGCGCUCCCUGCGCCUGAAGCUCCUCCGCAACUACACCUCGUGGUGCCGCUUCCUCGGCCGCCGGCCCAACGUCUUCGUUCCCGACGCGGCUGAGGACCCCCGCACCGACCUGCUCUUCACGGGGCUGCACCUCCUGGUAUGGGGCGAGGCCGCCAACCUCCGCUUCAUGCCGGAGUGCCUCUGCUACAUCUACCACCACAUGGCGCUGGAGCUGCAUCGAAUCCUGGAGGGCUACGUCGACGACAAGGGCCGUCCUGCCAACCCCGCCGUGCACGGCGAGAACGCCUUCCUCGCCCGCGUCGUCGCGCCCAUCUACGGUGUCAUCCGCGCCGAGGUCGAGUCCAGCCGCAACGGCACCGCGGCGCACGCUGACUGGCGCAACUACGACGACAUCAACGAGUACUUCUGGCGCCGCGACGUGUUCGACCGCCUAGGCUGGCCCAUGGAUCGGUCGCAGCACUUGUUCCGCACGCAGCCGGACACGGACCGCAAGACGGGCUUCGUCGAGGUCCGCUCGUUCUGGAGCAUCUUCCGGAGCUUCGACAGGCUGUGGGUGAUGCUGGUGCUCUACCUGCAGGCCGCGGUGAUCGUGGCAUGGGACGGUGCGAGUGCGACGUGGCCGUGGCAAAGUCUGAGGUCGCACCGUGGGGUCCAGGUGCACGCGCUAACCAUUUUCAUCACCUGGGCUGGGCUACGCUUCCUGCAGGCGCUGCUGGAGAUUGCGACGCAGUUUCGCCGUGCCUCGAGGGACAGGGACAGGGACGGCCGCAUCCUUGCCGUGCGCAUGGGGCUCAAGGCCAUCGUGGCAGCCGGGUGGGUCCUCACAUUUUCCCUCCUGUACAAGGGAAUCUGGAGCCAGAGGGACAGGGAUCAGAGCUGGUCGCCGGCGACUGACGCACGAAUUAUGAGGUUUCUAUAUGCAGCUGCAGUGUUCGUGCUCCCUGCGGCCCUUGCCAUGGUGCUCUUGGUUUUCCCCUGUCUGCGGAAGGCAUUGGAGAAGACAAACUGGAAAAUCUGUUACGCUCUCACCUGGUGGUUCCACAGCCGCAUCUACGUUGGCCGUGGGCUCAGGGAGAGCACCUUUGACAGUGUGAGAUACUCAGCCUUCUGGAUACUUGUGCUUGCUGUCAAGUUCUCCUUCAGUUAUUUCCUCCAGAUCAGGCCACUGGUGGCACCCACCAAAGAGAUAUACGGCCUGAGUACGGCCGCAUAUGCUUCUUGGCAUGAGUUCUUUAGCCAGAGGAACCCAUUUGCUGUGCUCUUACUGUGGUUCCCGGUGGUUUUGAUCUACCUCAUGGAUAUACAGAUCUGGUAUGGCAUCUUCUCUUCUCUGGCUGGCGCCUGGAUGGGGCUUUUCUUGCACCUUGGGGAGAUCCGGGACAUGGAGCAGCUGCGACUCCGGUUCCAGUUCUUUGCAAGUGCCAUGUCAUUCAACAUCAUGCCGGAGGAGCAGCAUGAGAAUGGGCCCAACAGCAUUCUCAGGAAGUUUCGGAAUUGCUGCCAUCGGUUGCGGCUACGGCACGGCCUAUUCCAAGGCCGAUCCUUCAGGAGGAUCUCUCUCGAGUCAAACAAGGUAGAGGAGCGAAGAUUUGCGCUCGUCUGGAAUGAGAUAAUCGCCAAGUUCCGGGAAGAGGACAUUGUGAGCGAUCGUGAGGUUGAGCUUCUUACGCUGCUACCCGCGCAACCCAAUGUGCGUGUGAUCCGCUGGCCGUGCUUCUUGCUCUUCAACGAGCUGUCUCUUGCACUUGGUCAGGCAAAGGAGUCUCAGGGAUCUGAUCGCAGGCUCUGGAGCAAGAUCUGCAAGAACGAUUAUCGCCGUUGUGCUGUUAUUGAGGCAUAUGAUAGCACAAAAUACUUGCUGCUAAAGAUCAUCAAGAACAGAACCGAGGAACAUGCCAUCGUGACAAGGUUGUUCCGUGACUUCGACGAAUCCAUGGAGAAGGAGCUGUUCACAGUCAAGCAUAACAUGUCCGUGCUGCAAAAUAUCCAUGCAGAGCUCGUAGCUUUAUUAAGCCUGCUUCUCGAGCCCAACAAGGAUACCACUACCAGCAAGAUUGUCAAUGCGCUUCAGACCCUCUAUGAUGUUGUGGUUCGUGACUUCAGGACUGGGAUAAGAAGCACGGAACAGCUGAGGAACUCAAGGCCUACCAACCUUCUUUUCGUAGGCAAUAUCGUGCUGCCUCAUGAGGAGAAUGGCAGCUUCUAUAAGCAGGUGCGCCGCAUUCACACCAUCCUUACCUCAAGGGACCAUAUGAUCCAUGUCCCAAAGAAUCUUGGAGCUCGCCGAAGGAUUGCCUUCUUCAGCAACUCAUUGUUCAUGGACAUGCCACGAGCAACCAAGGUAGACAAGAUGAUGGCCUUGAGUGUCUUGACACCAUACUAUGAUGAAGAGGUCUUGUACACCAAGGACCAGCUCUAUAAGGAGAAUGAAGAUGGUAUCUCGAUAUUAUACUAUCUGCAACAGAUCUACCCGGAUGAGUGGGAGUUCUUUAUCGAGCGGAUGGAGCGGGAGGGGAUGUGUGAUAACAAGGAGCUGUACAUCGAGAAGCAAAGGUUAAGAGACCUCCGGCAGUGGGUCUCGUACAGGGGACAGACGCUCUCACGUACCGUGAGGGGGAUGAUGUAUUACUAUGAAGCUCUCAAGAUGCUGACUUUUCUUGAAUCCGCAUCUGAGCGUCGAUUGAUUACUGGAUCGAGGAAGAUCUCUUCAAGACCAGGUUGGGCUUCUUCAAGCAGCGCAUCUUCUUCACGUGCAGCACCACUGAGACUGAGCAGAGCAAGUAGUGGGGUUGGUGUGAGCUCCUUGUUUAAAGGUAGCGAGUAUCGGACUGCCCUUAUGAAAUACACUUAUGUGGUUGCAUGCCAACUUUAUGGCCAACAGAAAUCUCGAAAUGACCCCCAUGCCGUUGAGAUAUUGGAGCUAAUGAAGAAGCACGAGGCACUGCGCGUCGCUUAUGUCGAUGAAAAGCAAUCCAGCGGUGGUGAAACAGAGUACUUCUCUGUCCUUGUGAAAUACGACCAACUGUUUCAGCGGGAGGUCGAGAUCUACCGGGUUAAGCUGCCUGGACCCAUGAAGCUUGGUGAAGGCAAGCCAGAGAACCAGAACCAUGCACUCAUCUUCACGAGGGGUGAUGCCGUUCAGACCAUCGACAUGAACCAAGACAACUACUUUGAAGAAGCUCUUAAGAUGAGAAACCUGCUUGAAGAGUUCAAUCGCUAUAGCAAGCCAAAUAUCCUUGGAGUUCGGGAGCAUGUGUUCACCGGUUCUGUGUCUUCUCUAGCUUGGUUUAUGUCUGCUCAAGAAACAUGUUUCGUCACUCUGAGCCAGCGCGUUCUUGCUAAUCUACUCAAGGUUAGAAUGCAUUAUGGCCACCCGGAUGUGUUUGACCGCCUCUGGUUCUUGGGCCGAGGUGGCAUCAGUAAAGCAUCGAAAGCAAUCAACAUCAGUGAGGAUAUAUUUGCUGGAUUUAACUGUACUCUCCGUGGGGGCAAUGUUACACACCAUGAAUAUAUCCAGGUUGGUAAAGGAAGGGACGUUGGGCUCAAUCAGAUUUCCAUGUUUGAAGCCAAGGUUGCUGGUGGCAACGGGGAGCAAACUCUAAGCAGAGAUGUCUACAGACUAGGCCACGGAUUGGAUUUCUUCCGGAUGCUCUCAUUCUUUUAUACAACCAUUGGAUUUUAUCUCAACACCAUGAUGGUUGUGCUAACUGUCUAUGCAUUUGUGUGGGGGCGCUUUUAUCUUGCACUCAGUGGGCUCGAGGACUACAUCACAAACAACACUAGCUCUACUGAUAAUGCAGCCCUGUGGGCUGUCCUGAACCAGCAAUUUUUCAUACAGUUUGGCCUCUUCACAGCAUUGCCCAUGAUUAUUGAGAACUCCCUAGAGCAUGGUUUCCUCAUUGCGGUGUGGGAUUUCAUAGUAAUGCAAUUGCAGUGUGCAUCUGUUUUCUACACCUUCUGCAUGGGGACCAAGACACACUAUUAUGGGCGGACACUCCUUCAUGGAGGCGCAAAGUACCGUCCUACUGGCCGUGGCUUCGUGGUGGAGCACAAGAAAUUUGCUGAGAACUAUAGGCUGUACGCCCGUAGCCAUUUCACGAAAGCAAUAGAGCUUGGUGUGAUAUUGUGUCUUUAUUCAUCUUAUAGCAACAUCGCAGGGGAUACAUUGGUGUACAUCCUGCUGACACUUUCCAGUUGGUUCCUAGUAUGCUCCUGGAUUCUUGCCCCCUUCAUUUUCAAUCCAUCAGGUUUGGACUGGCAGAAGAAUUCUAAUGAUUUUGAGGAUUUCUUCAGUUGGAUUUGGUUCCAGGGCGGAAUUUCGGUCAAGUCUGAUCAGAGCUGGGAGAAGUGGUGGGAAGAGGAAACCGACCAUCUUCGGACCACUGGUCUGUGGGGGAGCAUCAUUGAGAUCAUACUGGACCUCCGGUAUUUCUUCUUCCAGUAUGCAAUUGUGUAUCGGCUUCACAUGGCCGGUGGGAGUAGAAGCAUCCUUGUCUAUGUUCUAUCCUGGGCAUGCAUACCGUUGCCUUUUCUGGCUCUUGUCACGGUUACCUAUUUCAGAGACAAAUAUUCAGCAAAGAAGCACAUUCGCUACCGGCUUGUCCAGUCUGUUAUUGUUUGUGCCUCUUUGGCUGCUAUCAUUGUGCUGCUUACACUCACAAAGUUCCAGUUCAUUGACACUUUUACUAGUCUCUUGGCUUUUCUACCAACUGGCUGGGGAAUCAUAUCCAUUGCUCUGGUGUUCAGGCAGUACCUGAAGAAGUCUGACACUGUUUGGAAAACUGUGGUUGUUGUGGCACGUUUUUAUGACAUAACAUUGGGAUUAAUCGUUAUGGCACCCAUAGUUGUGCUGUCAUGGUUGCCUGGACUCCGGGAAUUGCAGACGAGGAUCCUGUUUAAUGAAGCUUUCAGCAAGGGACUUCAUAUUUCCCAAAUGAUUACUCGCAGAAAAACGCAUCGAGCUUAG
rnacentral:rRNA from 1 species